UACGUAGGAGGCAAGCGUUGUCCGGAAUUACUGGGCGUAAAGGGCGUGUAGGUGGUGGGACAAGUCUGCUGUGAAAGCGCCUGGCUUAACCGGGCGAGGUCGGCGGAAACUGUCCGACUAGAGGACGGUAGAGGGGGGUGGAAUCCCCGGUGUAGUGGUGAAAUGCGUAGAGAUCGGGAGGAACACCUGUGGCGGAGGCGGCUCACUGGCUCGUAACUGACGCUCAUGCACGACAGCGUGGGGAUCAAACAGG
rnacentral:rRNA from 1 species